CCCCUCUCAGGAUCGCACCUGGAGAGUUUCCAGCACUCUACCAGUCCCUGCUAUGAGAGGGAGAGUCAAUCAGAAGCAUACCCAUUCCAUUACUAGAUUGGCCAGUGGCUAGCGAGUGGAAGGCAAUCUGCUACAAGU